AGCGAACGCUGGCGGCAGGCCUAACACAUGCAAGUCGAACGAACCCUUCGGGGUUAGUGGCGGACGGGUGAGUAACACGUGGGAACGUGCCUUUAGGUUCGGAAUAACUCAGGGAAACUUGUGCUAAUACCGAAUGUGCCCUUCGGGGGAAAGAUUUAUCGCCUUUAGAGCGGCCCGCGUCUGAUUAGCUAGUUGGUGAGGUAAUGGCUCACCAAGGCUACGAUCAGUAGCUGGUCUGAGAGGAUGACCAGCCACAUUGGGACUGAGACACGGCCCAAACUCCUACGGGAGGCAACAGUGGGAAUCUUGCGCAAUGGGCGAAAGCCUGACGCAGCCAUGCCGCGUGGAUGAUGAAGGUCUUAGGAUUGUAAAAUCCUUUCACCGGUGAAGAUAAUGACUGUAGCCGGAGAAGAAGCCCCGGCUAACUUCGUGCCAGCCGCCGCAGUAA
rnacentral:rRNA from 1 species